rnacentral:misc_RNA from 1 species
GCAAACUUGGUCAUUUAGAGGAAGUAAAAGUCGUAACAAGGUCUCCGUUGGUGAACCAGCGGAGGGAUCAUUACCGAGUGAAAACUCCCAAAACCCCUGUGAACAUACCACUGUUGCUUCGGCGGACCACCCCUCGCCCCGCCGCGGGGGCCCGCCAGAGGACCCGAAAAUUCAAAUGUAUCUUGUUUUCCAAACGCAUUCUGAGUGGGAUUUUUUAAAUCAAAUCAAAACUUUCAACAACGGAUCUCUUGGCUCUGGCAUCGAUGAAGAACGCAGC